rnacentral:rRNA from 1 species
UCCGUAGGUGGAUAAUUAAGUCAGAGGUGAAAUCCUGCAGCUCAACUGUAGAAUUGCCUUUGAUACUGGUUAUCUUGAGUCAUUAUGAAGUGGUUAGAAUGUGUAGUGUAGCGGUGAAAUGCAUAGAUAUUACACAGAAUACCGAUUGCGAAGGCAGAUCACUAAUAAUGCACUGACACUGAGGGACGAAAGCGUGGGGAGCGAACAGGAUUAGAUACCCUGGUAGUCC